rnacentral:miRNA from 1 species
GUGUGUGUGUGUGUGUGUGUGUGUGUGUGUGUGUAUAUAUAUAUAUACACACACACACACACACAAAUCCUUCUAAGAA